UAGAAAUAUGCACUCGAGUUGGCUUGUUAUAUUCUAAAUAAAGUUCUAAGUUCAUAAGUAAAAUACCACAUGAGAUGUGGACAGGACGUAAACCAGUACUUUCUUACCUUAGGAUUUGAGAAUGUCCAGCUUAGGUCAAACAUUUGAAAAUUGACAAGCUUGGACAUAAAUCUGACAAAUGUCUAUAUAUAGGGUACCCAAAAGAGACUAAGAG
rnacentral:lncRNA from 1 species